UCUAUAAAACCGUUUAUGAAUGGAUUGAAGGUUACCGGCCCUGUGAGUGUGGAACCAGACGUAUUGUGGAAUGGGAAUUGCGUAUUCUGUUUUAGAAUAGACGGACGAUGUUUUUAAAGGAAAUGUUACCAAGAAAGAGGGAACCCUUUGCCAGCCAUUGUUUAAUUUAAAGAAACCAGAAGGACCUGCCCAUACUGAGAGUGACAUUGGGUGGGGGCUUGUCCCAUCAAGCCAAGGUUUCAUCUUUCCCUCUCACUCCUACUCUAACAGGAAAUGAGCCCGGAUCGUAGCAAAUGGCCAUCCACCAUGGAGUCAUGCGCCAAAUGAGUAUCCUUUGAGAAUUUUGUUUGCUUCUGCCUGUAACCGUUUAUUAAAAUCUGCGCAAAGGCCAGCGAUUCCCAUAAACUGGAGCUAAAUCAUUGGGAAAAGCCCAACAGUAAAGACUUCUAUUGUGUGCAAGCAGAAUAUGUUACUGCAUCGUGCUCUAACAUACAUAAAAUACUCCUCUCCGUAUCCUUUUUUGGAAAAGGCGCACAUUAGGAGGAACUUAUAUUUCCUAAGGAUCUCCUAAUGUCGGUCGUAAAUCAGCAGAGGAAAGCUUUCACUGCCUAGAAGCAUUUCUACCUGUCGUAACAUAUCGAAAAAAUGUGCAUGAAACAUCAGUCAUGGUGUAGCGUUAUGCAUAAUUCAAAGACCUUAUCUCUGAGGAAGAUAGGUUUGGCAAAUUCAUAAGUGUCCAUACGACUGCCUCUGUGCUGUAAGUGAGAUUUAGCUCCUGUAAUGAUAUAAUUCAAAUCUUUGCAGAACAAUGUCUACCCAUUAAAAAAUGCCAACAGAAACCCUCCCCUAACUACCAGCCCCUCUCCUCGUUGUCAGUCUUCCAGAGAUCUCUGGGAAAUGUCAGCGAGCUGCUAAUUGGGUCCCUGUAAAGAACACAGCCACAGAAUGUUCUAGCAUGUUUCCAGUGCAGAGCUCCUCACACAGACGUGAUCCCUCCAAGCAUGCAGUGUACAUUCUCCAGUGUUCUGAGACACUGUACAUGAACCUGAAAAGCAAAGUUUCACUUUCCCUUGAGAAGUCCAAGUUGUACCUGUGUACUUGUCUACCCUCAGCACAGGAAGUGUUAAACAAAGAACCGGUGUGCAAAAGCCCAGCCAAAAGAAACCAUGGUACCAUCGGCUUGCAGUGAUACCAUCAGCCUGUCCCACCUUUGCAUUACAUAAGAAAAAAUGGACUCAAAAGAGAACUAUUCGGGAACUGCUUGAUAUAACGGCCGAAACAUCAGUAUAGGAGGCUGAAUCCGGAUCCUGGACCCGUCCCGUGUCCGCAUCUUAUCUCUAGCUUGGAGCCCUGUAGUCAGAUUUCAGCCUCGCUGUCUCCUCCUCGGUCCGCCAUUUCGCAAAACCGGCAGAACGCCAUUCGCGGGUCCUGUCAUGGAGGAACAACAAAUGGUCUUUGUUACAGUGUUAAUAUGCAGACUCAAAUGGCGUAAGUCUGCCUGUGCUGUUUUCAGACGGUGGCGCCAUUAGCGAUUAUGACAACGAAUGAAACUCCAUUUUGUAUAUGAAGGUUAAAUUCUGUCGCAUGAAGAGCAGAAUGUUUUAUAAUCUUGUACAAUUAUUAAAAUUGCAUUAUAUAGUUAAUAUAACAAAAUCUGAUUCUGAUUAUAUAUUUUAUCUGUAAAGGUUAAAUCAAUAUUUCCUGGUAUUUUGAUGGACAAGCGCAGUUGUUUACAAGUUUUUAAAACGCUUUCAAUUUUAUUUUCAAUUUUCCUCCCAGUACAUUUAAUUCCCCCCAAAUGUAUAUUUUAAAGACAACAUGCCGCCCAGGACGAAAUUAAACAUUUGUUACCAAACUGAAAGGAAUACUUUAUGCAAAGAUGCAUUUACGUUUAAGAUGUUUGAUCGUUUUCGCUGCACAAUUCAGCUGCAUGGUAUGAGAGAAUAAAGCUUUCUGUUACUAAGUUACUUGUCAUUUGAAGGAAGUGUAAUCUAAAAGUACCUAAUUUAAAAAGCGGUUAACGAGUAGAGUACAGUCAUAGAGUGUUAAAAUGAAAAUGUUCUCCAAAAUGUACUUCUGUUAUUUUCGAAUUAAAGCGGUAGAGAUCGAUCCCGGGCUGAUGAGAUACGGUCAAUAAUAAAACACUGUUUAACUCAAAAGCAUACCCUUGCACCUCGGUAAAGUAGGAUACACUGCACUUCUUUCGCCCAAAUCCUGCAAACAUAUACGACCAGUCUAUAGCCUAUUACAUAAGUACAAGCAACAUAUCUUAAUUCUCACUUUACCGUAAGUCAUUAAUCAAUACUGUGUUAACCUGAAAUUGCGUAUGUUCAUAAUAAAGGUAACUGGAUUCUUGAUAUUCUACAUUGUAACGCUUAGAAGGCAAUUUGUUUGCACUGAUAUGUGAAAAUGUAUCAAAGUUGUACGAAUGUAUGAAGUCGUAUCGCCAAUAUAUACCGAGAAAAAAGCAAAACUUACAGCCGGAGUGGGGGCAUUUUAUGUUGUUGUUU